AACGAACGCUGGCGGCAUGCCUAACACAUGCAAGUCGAACGAAGGCUUCGGCCUUAGUGGCGCACGGGUGCGUAACGCGUGGGAAUCUGCCCUUAGGUUCGGAAUAACAGUUAGAAAUGGCUGCUAAUACCGGAUGAUGACGUAAGUCCAAAGAUUUAUCGCCUGAGGAUGAGCCCGCGUAGGAUUAGCUAGUUGGUGUGGUAAAGGCGCACCAAGGCGACGAUCCUUAGCUGGUCUGAGAGGAUGAUCAGCCACACUGGGACUGAGACACGGCCCAGACUCCUACGGGAGGCAGCAGUGGGGAAUAUUGGACAAUGGGCGCAAGCCUGAUCCAGCAAUGCCGCGUGAGUGAUGAAGGCCUUAGGGUUGUAAAGCUCUUUUACCCGUGAUGAUAAUGACGGUAGCGGGAGAAUAAGCCCCGGCUAACUCCGUG
rnacentral:rRNA from 1 species